GGCUGUGAGGGUUAUCUGGGUGUGACAUCUGUCACCCCAUUGAUUGCCAAGGUUCAUUGGACAGGUCUGGCUGGCUGGGCGGGGUCCCCUUCCUCUCUCACCACUCAAUGUGCAUCCCUCUCCAAGCUAUGAGGACAAACAUACCAUGGAGGAGGAUCUUUUCUUGGUCAAGGGAAUAUGAGUAGCUGUGCUUCCCUGCUAGACCCUUCAAUCUAGCUCAGAAAAUGAAUAUGCAUACGCUAUGCAAAACACCACAUAGGAACACUUACUAUUUUAGUAAGGGAUUGUCUUUCUGUUUUCAAUU
rnacentral:snRNA from 1 species